rnacentral:rRNA from 1 species
AUGAACGCUGGCGGCGUGCCUCAUCCAUGCCAGUCGCGCGAACAGACGAGGAGCUUGCUCCUCUGACGUUAGCGGCGGACGGGUGAGUAACACGUGGAUAACCUACCUAUAAGACUGGGAUAACUUCGGGAAACCGGAGCUAAUACCGGAUAAUAUAUUGAACCGCAUGGUUCAAUAGUGAAAGACGGUUUUGCUGUCACUUAUAGAUGGAUCCGCGCCGCAUUAGCUAGUUGGUAAGGUAACGGCUUACCAAGGCAACGAUGCGUAGCCGACCUGAGAGGGUGAUCGGCCACACUGGAACUGAGACACGGUCCAGACUCCUACGGGAGGCAGCAGUGGGGAAUAUUGGACAAUGGGCGAAAGCCUGAUCCAGCCAUGCCGCGUGUGUGAAGAAGGUCUUCGGAUUGUAAAGCACUUUAAGUUGGGAGGAAGGGCAGUAAGUUAAUACCUUGCUGUUUUGACGUUACGAACAGAAUAAGCACCGGCUAACUUCGUG